GGGCCGGUAACUCAGUUGGUAGAGUAUCGGCCUUUUAAGCCGAGAGUCGCAGGUUCGAGUCCUGCCCGGCCCA
rnacentral:tRNA from 1 species